CAUGCAAGUCGAACGGGAUGCUUAGGCAUCUAGUGGCGGACGGGUGAGUAACGCGUGAGAAUCUGGCUCCAGGUCGGGGAUAACAGUUGGAAACGACUGCUAAUACCGGAUGUGCCGAGAGGUGAAAGAUUUAUCGCCUGGAGAUGAGCUCGCGUCUGAUUAGCUAGUUGGCGGUGUAAGGGACCACCAAGGCAUCGAUCAGUAGCUGGUCUGAGAGGAUGAUCAGCCACACUGGGACUGAGACACGGCCCAGACUCCUACGGGAGGCAGCAGUGGGGAAUUUUCCGCAAUGGGCGAAAGCCUGACGGAGCAAUACCGCGUGAGGGAGGAAGGCUCUUGGGUCGUAAACCUCUUUUCUCAAGGAAGAAGAAAGUGACGGUACUUGAGGAAUAAGCAUCGGCUAACUCCGUGCCAGCAGCCGCGGUAAUACGGAGGAUGCAAGCGUUAUCCGGAAUGAUUGGGCGUAAAGGGUCUGCAGGUGGAACUGAAAGUCUGCUGUUAAAGAGUUUGGCUUAACCAAAUAAAAGCGGUGGAAACUACAGAACUAGAGUGCGGUAGGGGCAAAAGGAAUUCCUGGUGUAGCGGUGAAAUGCGUAGAUAUCAGGAAGAACACCGGUGGCGAAAGCGUUUUGCUAGACCGUAACUGACACUGAGGGACGAAAGCUAGGGGAGCGAAUGGGAUUAGAUACCCCAGUAGUCCUAGCCGUAAACGAUGGAUACUAGGCGUGGCUUGUAUCGACCCGAGCCGUGCCGGAGCUAACGCGUUAAGUAUCCCGCCUGGGGAGUACGCACGCAAGUGUGAAACUCAAAGGAAUUGACGGGGGCCCGCACAAGCGGUGGAGUAUGUGGUUUAAUUCGAUGCAACGCGAAGAACCUUACCAAGACUUGACAUCCUGCGAAUCCUGGUGAAAGCUGGGAGUGCCUUAGGGAGCGCAGAGACAGGUGGUGCAUGGCUGUCGUCAGCUCGUGUCGUGAGAUGUUGGGUUAAGUCCCGCAACGAGCGCAACCCUCGUUUUUAGUUGCCAGCAUUAAGUUGGGCACUCUAGAGAGACUGCCGGUGACAAACCGGAGGAAGGUGAGGAUGACGUCAAGUCAGCAUGCCCCUUACGUCUUGGGCUACACACGUACUACAAUGCUACGGACAGAGGGCAGCGAGCCAGGGAUGGCAAGCGAAUCCAGAAACCGUAGCUCAGUUCAGAUCGAAGGCUGCAACUCGCCUUCGUGAAGGAGGAAUCGCUAGUAAUUGCAGGUCAGCAUACUGCAGUGAAUUCGUUCCCGGGCCUUGUACACACCGCCCGUCACACCAUGGAAGUUGGUCACGCCCGAAGUCAUUACCCCAACCGAAAGGAGGGGGAUGCCUA
rnacentral:rRNA from 1 species